GCCUGGUAAAACAGGAAUUAAUCUUGGUUCGAUGUAGAAACCAAGGCUUGAGAAAUGAAAGGACUUCCCCAAGGUUAUACAGGCAUACCUCAUUUUCUUGCACUUCACUUUACUGUGGUUUGCGGAUAUUGCAUUUUUUACAAACUGAUGAAGGUUGGUGGCAAUCCUGCAUCAAACAAAUGUCAACAUCAUUUUUCAAACAGCAUUUGCCUUUUCAUGUCUCUGUCACAUUUUGGUAAUUCUCACAGUAUUUUUUUUAUUAUUAUGUUUGUUAUGGUGAUCUGUGAUCAGUGAUCUUUGAUGUUACAGUUGUCAUGGUUUUGGGGUGCCAGAAACUGCACACAUAUAAGACCAUGAACUUAACCAAUAGUGUGUUCUGACUGCUCCACUAACCACCUGCUCAUCUCUGUCUGUCCUUAGGCCUCCCUGUUCCCUGAGACACAAUAUUGAAAUUAGGCCAACAGAUAACCCUACAAUGGCCUCUAAGUGUUCAAGUGAAAGGAAGAGUUACACAUCUGUCACUUGAAAUCAAAAGCUAUGAUUAAGCUUAGUGAGGAAGGUGGUCAAAAGCCAAGUUAGGCUGAAAGCAGCUAGGCCUCUUGCACCAAACAGCCAAGUUGUAAACGCAAAGGAAAAUUUCUUGAAGAAAAUUAAAAGUGCUACUCCAGUGAACACACAAAUGUGUGAACAGAAGUCACAAUAUUCCCAUAAACCAAAGCCUGAUCCAGAGUGCGAACUCUUCAGUUCUUGGGCACCAUUCUUCCUUCCUGCAGCCCAGGUGGAUUUUUGUCUCAUCUUCUUUUAUCUGGUGCUCUUUGUGUCUCCUUGGGAGUAUACAGGGUAAUAAACAUAUUCCCUCUGGAAAUGGCUCAAAUAUGAAAGGUGGAUGUGUUGGAAGGAAAUGGGAGUGUCUUAUAAGGACCCCCCGAAAAGUGAAACAUUCAGUAUCACUGUGAAGAGAGGGGCCAAGAUGGCAGAACAGCAUGGAAGUUUUUUUGUGUGUCUCUCGUCCCUGAAGCGCAGCCAGAUCAACAUUAAACUAUCUUGCUAGAAAACCGGUAUGAGGAUUAACACAACAAUCUGCACAACCUGAACCACAGUAUCACUGUGAAGGCACUUUAAACCAAGAAUUGAAAAACGUUAUCAUGUGCAUGCUUAUGCUUUUUAAUUGUAUGUGUUUAAUUCAUUCAAAGUUUGAAUAUUUGGAUGAAUCCUCUCGUGACAAAAUAACAAGGUAACAUCAAACUACAUGUAGUGAAAGCAAAUAAAAUCUAGGGAUUAAAGGACUACUUCAACUGUGUGGUACCAGUGCUCGAGACAGGAGGAAGGACAAAGAAUGGGAGAAACAGAACACUUGCCAUUAUCCCACAACUGUACAUAUAUAGUGGCCAAUCUAUCCAUAAUUAUAACAGUUCUUAAUCCUUGACACCAUGCUGUGCUUAAGUCUCUCAAAGAUCCUUCAACAUUCCUUAGAAUUUUACAGUGUCUUAAAUAAAACUAAAUCAAAGGAAAGAUAAAUGUCUGCUUUUUAAAAACUCACCAUCCCAUCCCAAAUCUACUAUCUCUAUUGAGAAUUGCUAUGGAAUGUGCCUUCAUCUCUUGGCCUUGUUAGGGUUGCACAAAUACUAGAGUAUUUUGUCUAAAGUUGGAAACCCUAUCACUCAUUCCACAUCACAAUUACAUGUGA